UACGUAGGGGGCGAGCGUUAUCCGGAUUCACUGGGUGUAAAGGGGGCGCAGACGGCGAUGCAAGCCAGGAGUGAAAGCCCGGGGCCCAACCCCGGGACUGCUCUUGGAACUGCGUGGCUGGAGUGCAGGAGGGGCAGGCGGAAUUCCUGGUGUAGCGGUGAAAUGCGUAGAUAUCAGGAGGAACACCGGUGGCGAAGGCGGCCUGCUGGACUGCAACUGACGUUGAGGCCCGAAAGCGUGGGGAGCAAACAGG
rnacentral:rRNA from 1 species